UACAGAGGUCCCAAGCGUUGUCCGGAUUUAUUGGGCGUAAAGAGCGUGUAGGCGGUCUGGUAGGUCCGUUGUGAAAACUCGAGGCUCAACCUCGAGACGCCGAUGGAAACCAUCAGACUAGAGUCCGGAAGAGGAGAGUGGAAUUCCUGGUGUAGCGGUGAAAUGCGCAGAUAUCAGGAAGAACACCCGUGGCUAAGGCGGCUCUCUAGUACGGUACUGACGCUGGGACGCGAAAGCGUGGGGAGCGAACAGG
rnacentral:rRNA from 1 species